CCUACGGGAGGCUGCAGUAGGGAAUUUUCGGCAAUGGGGGGAACCCUGAACGAGCAACGCAGCGUGAACGAAGAAGUUAUUCGUAGUGUAAAGUUCUUUUAACAGGGAAGAAAGAGAAAUUUGACGGUACCUGAAGAAUAAGCCCCGUCAAACUACGUGCCAGCAGCCGCGGUAAUACGACGGGAGCGAGCGUUAUCCGGAAUUAUUGGGCGAAAGGGUUGCGUAGAUGGCAUAGUAAGUCUUUUGUAAAAAUGCUGGGCUCAACCCAGUAGGGCAAAAGAUACUGCAAAGCUAGAGUAUGACAGAGGCAAGUGGAACUACAUGUGUAGCGGUAAAAUGCGUAAAUAUAUGUAAGAACACCAGUGGCGAAGGCGGCUUGCUGGGUCGAUACUGACAUUGAGGCACGAAAGCGUGGGGAGCAAACAGGAUUAGAUACCCUUGUAGUC
rnacentral:rRNA from 1 species